UGUAUUGCGUGGGGUUUGAUCCAGUUAUUUUGAUGAAGUAAAGCGCAAGAUAUAAAGUUUCUUCAAUACAU
rnacentral:tRNA from 1 species